rnacentral:tRNA from 1 species
GGUAGGAUGGCCGAGUAAGCGGUGGAUUGUAGCCCCACAUACAGAGGUUUAAGUCCUCUUCUUACCA